GGUUGCGAUCAUACCAACACUAAUGCACCGGAUCCCAUCAGAACUCCGCAGUUAAGCGUGCUUGGGCGAGAGUAGUACUAGGAUGGUGACCCCCUGGGAAGUCCUCGUGUUGCAACCC
rnacentral:rRNA from 1 species